rnacentral:rRNA from 1 species
CAGUCGCCGCGGGAAUACAGAGGGUGCGAGCGUUAAUCGGAUUUACUGGGCGUAAAGCGUGCGUAGGCGGCUUUUUAAGUCGGAUGUGAAAUCCCUGAGCUUAACUUAGGAAUUGCAUUCGAUACUGGGAAGCUAGAUUAUGGGAGAGGAUGGUAGAAUUCCAGGUGUAGCGGUGAAAUGCGUAGAGAUCUGGAGGAAUACCGAUGGCGAAGGCAGCCAUCUGGCCUAAUACUGACGCUGAGGUACGAAAGCAUGGGGAGCAAACAGGAUUAGAUACCCGAGUAGUCCCUGUCUCUUAUAC